rnacentral:lncRNA from 1 species
GUGUGUCCUCCAAACACUAAUAAUAAGCCAGAGGUGUUCUCUCCUCCGCAGUUGGAUCGCAACGUUCUUCCUUAUUCAAUAUCAAAGGCUUUGUUUACGGCACGGUAGGGCACCCAGGUAAUACGUGCCUCUUCUCACGCAAGGCUUGUCCCAAGAGCUGGGGAUGCAUCCUCUUAGGUUCUUCAGGCAGGGAAAAGGGAGCUAGGCAGGAGGGCGUCUGUGCUCUGCAGUUCGGGAAGUUUGCAUCAUUGCCCUCAAAGCUAGUCUUCUAUUCCAGUGUUCACCACAGAUCUGCCGCUCUGAUACCACGUCUCUCUUUCAAAUACUUCUGCUUUGUAAUGGGUGAAGGCACUUAGCAGAGUGGACGCCCCUCUGGAAGGCUCUUCUCUCCCUCUUGUAUUAACCAGCCCUAUUCAUGCAUCAAACAUCAGCUCCAGUGUUACUACUCUCUGUAGUUUUCCUACAUUCAGGAAAAAGUACUCCAAAUUUGAAAUAACACUGCACUCCGUCUAGAACAAUUCCACAUUUAAGGCCUUUCUCUUCCCAACACCACCAUUACACUGCCAAACUGAACAAUAGACUUUAGAGAUUCUGAUCCUGGCAAUGAUUGGACCUUAAAAAGUACCUUGUGAGACUAGGUACUAUCUAUCCAGUUGAGUCACUGUUGUACACCUUUCUAGUAAACACUGCACAAGACAACAGGAAGCUUACGCGAAAUACCAAGUUUUCAGUUUUGAAAUAGUUUGUCAGUCAAGCUAACAUCCUGUAACAUUGAUUCCAUAGCUCCUUAUUGGAGCUAUUUAUUAAUGUGUACGUUAAAAGGAACUUGAUCUUCAUUUUUCUAGACUGUCACAAAAUAAAAAUAUUACCGACAAAGUACAGUUUAAAGGUUUACUAUGGGGAAGCAGCAAAGACUUCAUUCUAAAUGACAACUAGCAUUGGACACGUUACGAAGACUUUUUAAGUACUGAAAUCCUGAAAGAACUAACUGGUAUCAUUGUCUAGGAGUGUGUGUGUCUUUAUUUCUCUGUAUAAUGUAAUUACGCAGAAUUUUAUUUUGUCACAGUAAAAAUAUAUGUAAAGUU